rnacentral:rRNA from 1 species
UUGGGACAUAGAACUCGGCCCAAACUCUUAACGGGAGGCAGCAGUGGGGAAUAUUGUACAAUGGGCGCAAGCCUGAUCCAGCCAUGCCACUAAAAGUAAUGAAGGCCUAAGAAAAAUAAAGCUGUUUCGCCGAUGAAGAUAAUUACGGUAGUCGGAGAAGAAGCCCCGGCUAACUUCGUGCCAGCAGCCGCAGUAAUACGAAGGGGGCUAGCGUUUGUUCGGAAUUACUGGGCGAAAAGCGCACGUAGGCGGAUAUUUAAGUCAGGGGUGAAAUCCCAGAGCUCAACUCUGGAACUGCCUUUGAUACUGGGUAUAUUGAGUAUGGAAGAGGUUAGUGGAAUUGCGAGUGUAGAGGUGAAAUUCGUAGAUAUUGGCAGGAACACCAGUGGCGAAGGCGGCUAACUGGUCCAUAACUGACGCUGAGGUGGGAAAGCGUGGAGAGCAAACAGGAUUAGAUACCCUGGUAGUCCACGCCGUAAACGGUGAAUGUUAGCCGUCGGCAAGUUUACUUGUCGGUGGCGCAGCUAACGCAUAAACAUGCAGUCCCGUUCUUUAGUGCGCCUCGG